rnacentral:rRNA from 1 species
GGGUUGUGAGGUUAAGCGACUAAGCGUACACGGUGGAUGCCCUGGCAGUCAGAGGCGAUGAAGGGCGUGCUAAUCUGCGAUAAGCGCCGGUAAGGUGAUAUGAACCGUUAUAACCGGCGAUACCCGAAUGGGGAAACCCAGUGUGACUCGUCACACUAUCAUUAACUGAAUCCAUAGGUUAAUGAGGCGAACCGGGGGAACUGAAACAUCUAAGUACCCCGAGGAAAAGAAAUCAACCGAGAUUCCCCCAGUAGCGGCGAGCGAACGGGGAGGAGCCCAGAGCCUGAAUCAGCAUGUGUGUUAGUGGAAGCGUCUGGAAAGGCGCGCGAUACAGGGUGACAGCCCCGUACACAAAAGCGCAUGUGCUGUGAGCUCGAUGAGUAGGGCGGGACACGUGGUAUCCUGUCUGAAUAUGGGGGGACCAUCCUCCAAGGCUAAAUACUCCUGACUGACCGAUAGUGAACCAGUACCGUGAGGGAAAGGCGAAAAGAACCCCGGCGAGGGGAGUGAAAAAGAACCUGAAACCGUGUACGUACAAGCAGUGGGAGCCCCACCACCAAAGCAUUCUCUGGUGUUGAAGGCCCUGCAAAGCAGCAUCGCGGUGGCGGAGCGUCGUUUGCGACGCCCAACACACAAAACAAGCGGUGAAUGCUUUG